CUACGGGAGGCACCAGUGGGGAAUAUUGCACAAUGGACGAAGGUCUGAUGCAGCAACGCCGCGUGGAGGAUGACACAUUUCGGUGCGUAAACUCCUUUUAUAUAGGAAGAUAAUGACGGUACUAUAUGAAUAAGCGCCGGCUAACUCCGUGCCAGCAGCCGCGGUAAUACGGAGGGCGCAAGCGUUACUCGGAAUCACUGGGCGUAAAGAGCGUGUAGGCGGAUAGAUAAGUCAGGAGUGAAAUCCUAUGGCUCAACCAUAGAACUGCUCUUGAAACUGUCUAUCUAGAAUAUGGGAGAGGUAGAUGGAAUUUCUGGUGUAGGGGUAAAAUCCGUAGAGAUCAGAAGGAAUACCGAUUGCGAAGGCGAUCUACUGGAACAUUAUUGACGCUGAGACGCGAAAGCGUGGGGAGCAAACAGGAUUAGAUACCGAGUAGUC
rnacentral:rRNA from 1 species